AGAUUGAACGCUAGCGGGAUGCUUUACACAUGCAAGUCGAACGGCAGCGCGGACUUCGGUCUGGCGGCGAGUGGCGAACGGGUGAGUAAUAUAUCGGAACGUGCCCAGUAGCGGGGGAUAACUACGCGAAAGCGUGGCUAAUACCGCAUACGCCCUACGGAUGAAAGCGGGGGAUUCGCAAGAACCUCGCGCGAUUGGAGCGGCUGAUAUCAGAUUAGGUUGUUGGUGAGGUAAAAGCUCACCAAGCCGACGAUCUGUAGCUGGUUUGAGAGAACGACCAGCCACACUGGGACUGA
rnacentral:rRNA from 1 species